GACGAACGCUGGCGGCGUGCCUAAUACAUGCAAGUGGGACGCAAGGGAACACACUGUGCUUGCACACCGUGUUUUCUUGAGUCGCGAACGGGUGAGUAACGCGUAGGUAACCUGCCUAUUAGCGGGGGAUAACUAUUGGAAACGAUAGCUAAUACCGCAUAAUAUUAAUUAUCGCAUGAUAAUUGAUUGAAAGAUGCAAGCGCAUCACUAGUAGAUGGACCUGCGUUGUAUUAGCUAGUUGGUAAGGUAAGAGCUUACCAAGGCGACGAUACAUAGCCGACCUGAGAGGGUGAUCGGCCACACUGGGACUGAGACACGGCCCAGACUCCUACGGGAGGCAGCAGUAGGGAAUCUUCGGCAAUGGACGAAAGUCUGACCGAGCAACGCCGCGUGAGUGAAGAAGGUUUUCGGAUCGUAAAGCUCUGUUGUAAGUCAAGAACGUGUGUGAGAGUGGAAAGUUCACACAGGACG
rnacentral:rRNA from 1 species